CCGAAUAGUUUCAAAGAAUCGAUCGUCCGCCACAAAACCGAUACCAAGCCGUAUGCUCUGUAGAUCAACGUUGGUCGUUAUUUGAUCGAUAUCGUCGCUAGAAAGUCACCACUUGUUUGUUUUCU